GUACUGGAUUAACUCCGAGCUUUCAGACCUAACUCCUAAUGACAAGGUUUGCUGGCCGCGAUACAGAUGUUUACAUCGAUAGUUAUCGCCAGGGUUGCAAGAGAAAUCGCGCUGCCUCCCCUAAGUAGCGGGUAAUUGUGUUCGCUACUUCAUUUUGGAAAGGUGUUAGUGAUAUGUUAGA
rnacentral:ncRNA from 2 species